rnacentral:lncRNA from 1 species
GUGAACUACAGACUACCACUCUUAUAAUCUGUCACUAUUUCUUCUAUCUGCAUAUCAUAGCACUCUUUACUACUACUGGUUGAUAUGUCUUAGUUCCAAUAUUCAAUCUGUAAUAUAUUAAGACAUAAACAUGUGAUGAUCCAUAAAGUUAUGAAUACUAGUACUCAGUAUAGCAGAAAUUAACUCUUUAACAAAAUCAUGACUGAAACAAAUCUUUCAACAUUAAUUUAUGAAAAUGUU